rnacentral:rRNA from 1 species
AGUGGACGAACCUCUGGUGUUCGGGUUGUCACGCCAGUGGCAUUGCCCGGUAGCUAUGUUCGGACAGGAUAACCGCUGAAAGCAUCUAAGCGGGAAGCCUCUCCCAAGAUGAGUUCUCCCUGACCCCUUGAGGGUCCUGAAGGGCCGUCCGAGACCAGGACGUUGAUAGGCUGGGUGUGUAAGCGUUGUAAGGCGUUGAGCUAACCAGUACUAAUGGCCCGUGAGGCUUGACCAU